CUUUUCAUAUGUCUUACAUCAUAUAGCACAUUAUGGAAGCUACUUACGGAGGCCAAAAUCAAUCAACUAGAGCAAUUACUGAAGGCAUGUCCUCCUCAGUUAAAUGAUAGAUCUGCGUAAAACAAGAGCAUAAAGCAAAUGGAUAAGAUGCCACUCUUGAAGAUUAUGUAUUGCCGAUUGCGGCCGAGGAGAUAACAAGAGUGCGGACGCUAUGGCUAAAGUUUGUCGGAUGUCUACCUUAGAAUGCAAUGUAAUUCCCCCAUCCCCUAGUUAUUGUAUAAACUUCUAUGAGGAUGUUUGUACUUGUAACAAAUAUUCAAGUUUUAUGCUAAGUUCUUA